AUUGAACGCUGGCGGCAGGCCUAACACAUGCAAGUCGAACGAGCGGCGGACGGGUGAGUAAUGCCUAGGAAUCUGCCUGGUAGUGGGGGAUAACGUCCGGAAACGGGCGCUAAUACCGCAUACCAUCGGAUGUGCCCAGAUGGGAUUAGCUAGUAGGUGGGGUAACGGCUCACCUAGGCGACGAUCCCUAGCUGGUCUGAGAGGAUGACCAGCCACACGGGAACUGAGACACGGUCCAGACUCCUACGGGAGGCAGCAGUGGGGAAUAUUGCACAAUGGGCGCAAGCCUGAUGCAGCCAUGCCGCGUGUAUGAAGAAGGCCUUCGGGUUGUAAAGUACUUUCAGCGGGGAGGCGUUACCCGCAGAAGAAGCACCGGCUAACUCCGUGCCAGCCGCCGCGGUAAUUC
rnacentral:rRNA from 1 species